GUGCCCCACCCAGAAUACGCCUCUCCCCACUUCUCCGUCGCCGACCUUUUUGGCGUCCUUGAAAAACUAAACCAAUCCCAUCAUAAAGAGAAGAGGUGGGGGGAGAAGGAGUUCCAUGUCCAUUCAUACAAAGUGCUUCAGAGAGCACUCAUGAUAAUUAGCAAUUAUGAAGGAAAACUGUCGGUUGUCUAAAAGUCAAUCCAUUUAUUUCCAGGAGCCCAGAAUGUUGGGGGGAUGGGUCCUACAGAGGACUCUCUUUCAUAGAGCAACCCCCCAAGAGAAAAAAAGAACACCUACGUAAGCUUCAUUAAUGACGUCAUGGAGUCAUCUUUUGUUGUCUUCAACAUGUUCAAUAAUUUACCCAUUUAUUGAUCUGUGCAGGGCUAAACAGUGACAUAGUAGUUAGUGCUCUUUCCUAACCAAGAGAAGGGUUCAAAUUCUGGUUUCCUCCCACAGACCAAAACCAGGCUUCAUAAGUUAACUGCUGACUCUACAUUGCCAAUAGGUGUGGAUGUUAGUGUGUGGCCCUCCAACCGACUGGCGACCUGUUCAGGAGAUACUAUGUGACGCAUUAGGGAUUCUGUGGUUGGAUGGAUGGAUCUGUGGUCGGAGUGUAAUGGAUCAUGGCUUUUGAAGGUUUUUGCAGCUAUCAUGUGAGAAGUUAGUUCAUAUUCAGAUGCUGUUUCUAUAAAGACGAUCCAGGUUUGUACUGCUGUGGUCAUGUUUUACCAAACUACCACGAAUGUCACUGUUGGAGGAAUAUCAACGCGCUGAAGCGUGCUUGUGAAAAACGGCUCCCAGAAAGUCCCGAGACUUCAUCACACACUCUUCCUACGGAGAUUGGAGGAAAUUCUGGGAACCAAAUGAUUAUUUUCCUAAACAUGGAUGGACGGAGAUGAGAUAACAGAGAGCAGACACUGCAGUCUGAUAAACAUCUGCUGUGUGUAGGACAGAGACACUUUAUCUUAGGAGAGAAGAAUCGAGUUACUGUGAGCAGCUGAGGAGCGUCUACGGCCAAAUGAACGUUGCUGCUCCUCAAAUCGAAUAAGGCUGGAGAACUUAAUUAUGAAACCAGCUUUGUUCCGCUCAAGACGUCUGCAGGUAGUCUGGAGCCACAAGUACCGUGAAGUCAAACGCUCCAAAUCAGGAAACGGACGGAUUUUGGAGGAUUCACAUGCAGGAAUCAGCUGCAAUCAUUGAGAAUGAUCCAUUUCAGGCUCUGGCGGGUUGUCUUCAAAAUAAAAGAUGAAUCCAUUUUAGAUGUUCUUAUGUGUGAAAAUAGGUGUGAUGGUCUAAAAGUUUUUGUUUGA